rnacentral:rRNA from 1 species
UAGGGAAUAUUGGACAAUGGGUGAGAGCCUGAUCCAGCCAUGCCGCGUGCAGGAAGAAGGCGUUAUGCGUUGUAAACUGCUUUUUGCCAGGGGAUAAAAAGACCGUGCGCGGUUAAUUGAAGGUACCUGGUGAAUAAGCCACGGCUAACUACGUGCCAGCAGCCGCGGUAAUACGUAGGUGGCAAGCGUUGUCCGGAUUUAUUGGGUUUAAAGGGUGCGUAGGUGGCCCUGUAAGUCAGUGGUGAAAUAUCUCAGCUUAACUGAGAGGGUGCCAUUGAUACUGCAGGGCUUGAGUACAGAUGAGGUAGGCGGAAUUGACGGUGUAGCGGUGAAGUGCAUAGAUAUCGUCAAGAACACCGAUAGCGAAGGCAGCUUACCAAGCUGUAACUGACACUGAGGCACGAAAGUGUGGGGAUCAAACAGGAUUAGAUACCCAAGUAGUCCCUGAGCGGGCUGGCAAGGCGCAU